AUUGAACGCUGGCGGCAGGCUUAACACAUGCAAGUCGAGCGGGGUGAUGGUGCUUGCACUAUCACUUAGCGGCGGACGGGUGAGUAAUGCUUAGGAAUCUGCCUAUUAGUGGGGGACAACAUCUCGAAAGGGAUGCUAAUACCGCAUACGUCCUACGGGAGAAAGCAGGGGAUCACUUGUGACCUUGCGCUAAUAGAUGAGCCUAAGUCGGAUUAGCUGGUUGGUGGGGUAAAGGCCUACCAAGGCAACGAUCUGUAGCGGGUCUGAGAGGAGGAGCUGCCAAACUGGGACGGAGACACGGACCAGACGCCUACGGGAGGCAGCAGUGGGGAAUAUUGGACAAUGGGGGGAACCCUGAUCCAGCCAUGCCGCGUGUGUGAAGAAGGCCUUAUGGUUGUAAAGCACUUUAAGCGAGGAGGAGGCUCUUUUGGUUAAUACCCAAGAUGAGUGGACGUUACUCGCGGAAUAAGCACCGGCUAACUCUGUGCCAGCAGCCGCAGUAA
rnacentral:rRNA from 1 species